CUUACACCUGAAAAAUGUCUGCUAAUACCAGAUCGUCUUGAUGCCAAACUCUAGCCCAAUCGACAUGACCUGGAAUAACAAAGCUACUCCCCAAACACCCAACUAAAGCAUUUACUAGUCCCAGUAUAGGCGAUAGAAAAGACACCAUUGGAGCGAUAGAGACUACGUACCGUAAGGAAAGAUGAAAUAGCAGUGAAACUUAAGCUAAAAACAGCAAAGAUCAACCCUUGUACCUUUUGCAUCAUGGUCUAGCAAGAAAAACCAAGCAAAAUGAAUUUAAGUUUGCCACCCCGAAACCCAAGCGAGCUACUUACGAGCAGCUAUUAUUGAGCGAACCCGUCUCUGUGGCAAAAGAGUGGGAUGACUUGUUAGUAGUGGUGAAAAGCCAAUCGAGCUGGGUGAUAGCUGGUUGCCUGUGAAACGAAUCUUAGUUCACUCUUAAUUCUUCUCCAAGGAAACCCACGAACCCUAAUGAAGCGAAUUAAGGGCUAUUUAAAGGAGGGACAGCUCCUUUAAAAAAGAAUACAAUCUCUACGAGCGGAUAAGCACCAAUUCCCAAUACCAUACUGUGGGCCUUCAAGCAGCCAUCAACAAAGAGUGCGUUAAAGCUCUACCCUACAAAAAUAUAAGAACCAUGCGACUCCCUCAUCAUUAACAGGCUAACCUAUAUUUAAAUAGGAGAAUUAAUGCUAGAAUGAGUAACCAGGGCCCCUCCCUCUACGACGCAAGCUUACAUCUGUACAUUAUUAACAAAUAACCAAUAUACGACAAAUCAAACAAGCAGAGUAUUAAACAUCUUGUUAACCCGACAGAGGAGCGUCCA
rnacentral:rRNA from 1 species